rnacentral:snRNA from 1 species
AUACUUACCUGGCAGGGGAGAUACCAUGAUCACGAAGGUGGUUUUCCCAGGGCGAGGCUUAUCCAUUGCACUCCGGAUGUGCUGACCCCUGCGAUUUCCCCAAAUGUGGGAAACUCGAUUGCAUAAUUUGUAGUAGUGGGGGACUGCGUUCGCGCUUUCCCCUG